CAUUUACAUCUUCAGCUCUGGGUAUCUAAUUUAACCUUUACACUGAGAUCUGAAACUCUACAAACAAUAUUAGACUGCGUCUGAAAUCAGAUAUUCUCUGAGCAGGAGAUUUGCUUGAUAUGAAUCCUCAUCAUCAUCAUCCUCAUCAUCAGCUGACAGAUGAAUGCAGAAAGAGUCUCUGAAACAGCAUCAACACACAAAAGCAGAAGCACAGAUGAAACACUGAGCAAAGGUUUGGAGUGAAUCCUGAACAGAAUUGAGUGGAAAUGAAAGAGAUCUGGAUUCUGAUCAAAGCAUUCAAAGCUUCAGAAGAGAUGAAAACAGCAGAACUGAUCCAUUAGAGUCACAUUCACAUCUUUGUGUUUCACUUCAAUAAUGUUUCACACUUUUCUGUCUGUGUUUAGUGAUUUCUCAGAAACUCUUGUGACUUUAUUAAAUGAAUCCAGUAGAUAACAUCAUAUCAGCUGAUGAAGUGAGAUCUGUGCGUGUGUUUUCAUUGCUGUUGCUGGAAAAUACUUUCAUAUAUAUUUGUAGAUCUUUAACUCUGCUGUGAUUCUGAUGAUCGCCUGUAGAGGGAGACACGUGACUGUAUUACAGGGGUCAGAGGUCAAUCCAGCACAUUAUCUGACUGCAUAA